GACGAACCUUGCAAACGUUAUUCGGAAUCACUGGGCUUAAAGGGUGCGUAGGCUGUGCAGAAAGUUGGGUGUGAAAUACCUCGGCUUAACCGAGGAAUUGCGCCCAAAACUACUGUGCUCGAGGAAGAUAGAGGUGAGCGGAACUUAGGGUGGAGCGGUGAAAUGCGUUGAUAUCCUAAGGAACACCGGUGGCGAAAGCGGGUCUCUGGGCCGAUACUGACGCUGAGGAGCGAAAGCGUGGGGAGCGAACAGG
rnacentral:rRNA from 1 species